CUGGCAGUUAUAUGGGUGCUUCAAAAUCUGCAGAGAGUAAAUGCAAAACAGGCUCUCCAGUGUUUGACCUUUGACCCAGUUUCGGCUGACUAAAGUUCUGCUGGGCUUCAGUGACUGGCUGUAAUGUGUGAGGGAGGGUGUUGAUCAGGAUAGCAGCAGUCCUCCCCUGGUGUCCCAUCACUGCUGUCCCGGGCUGACACUUUCUUAUAGUGUCUGUGCUUAAUUAGAGAAAGUGAGCUGAGGCUUGAGUCGGGGGAUCUGUUGUGUCUGGAAAGGGAGGGUCGAUAAUAUUUACUUGAGUGGUCUGCUUAAACUUUUAUUAAAUGUGCCACCAAACGCCCUCUCAACAUUACUCUGCCAUGCCAACCUUGACUGGGAGGAGUCUGGAUCCUGGAUCUUGUGGCUCAAGGAUAAACCUCAGUUCAAAGAAUCAGACAGAGUUUUCGACAAAAGGCUCUGCACACUCAAAAAAAAGGGUUUCAUAGACCCUCCUACAAACAGGAUAUGGGAUAACAUCCUUCUCCAUUCUUGUGAAAGUAGGCACCAAAUAGUGUCCAACAAUUCAGUUAAAAGAAUUUCCGUUGACCACAAAUGCAAUGUUUGGACUCUUGUGCAUCUCUGCAUCUUUUGCAGAAGGUCACCAACACCGAGCAGAGACACUAAUGCUAAACAUAACAACACUGAAAGAAUGUUCUAGAAACACAAUGAAAGUGCUGUCAACAGGAUAUGGGACAGAAAUAGUUAGCCUGGGGGGGACUGUCUUGAAAGCUACACAACAUUUCCUUUUGGCAAAAUCCCAAAUGUUCUCUUAAAGUGAAGACAUACUAUAGCUCACAUUCAUUGUAUGUUUUUAGACCCCAAAAGCACCAUUGUUGUGUAAUGACCAAAUGCCCAAAACACACAAAAAGUUUUCCAUAAAAAGUCCAUCCUGAGACAAAUGGCCAUCGCUGGUAUGGUGAAAGGUGGUGACAAUUAUAGGGGCCGAUGGCUGAGGGAGGGCCCCCUGGCGAUCUCAACCGACUGGCUGAGGUCGGCAUAAAAAAGUUCAAAGGGUCACUGCUGCGCAUCGUCAUGAAAGCUUAUCAUUUGCACAAGUUUUUAAGCCUUGCCAAUUGAAACAUUCAAAAGAGUUUAAGGCAUUCAAAGACGACGCAGAAAAAAUCAACCGAGUACUCACAUGCCGUGUCCGAUGCACAUGCACAGAGCUGCAUCUCAUGGACAGCAACGCCAAACUGAGAUCUCCUUUGCAUCUCCUUCAUCUGAAUGAACAAAUACAAAUAGCAGUUUAAUCAUGCAAAGAGAAAAAAGAUUUCAAAGAGCCCAAUUCAGCACGCAGAGAUGUGUUGAGAAGUGCUUGAACACUGGAUGCAUUGUCUCUUAAUGUGACCGCGCUUAAUUUACUAACUGCUGUCGGUGUCCUUAAUGUUAAUUCAAGAAAAUGAAAGAAAGAAAAUUAAACUUAUUAAAAUAUACUUAAAAAACUAAAUAAAAAAUUGGGACCAAUAAUUAUUCUGAUACUUUGACCUGACAUAGUUUUUUUUUUUUUUUUUUUUUUGAAUUGCUAAUGCACACUUUUUAUACCACAGACUGAACAAAAUUAAGCGUUGCUUGGUAAUUGGUCGACAAAGUAUUGAUAGUUGUGUAAAUAUUGUCAUACUAAUUGUUGCCUGACUUUUUGAUUGAUUGUAAUCCAUUACAUAUCUUUCUAUCAAAGUUAGCUGACAUUAUCAAGAUUAAUUUGUUCUGACAAAGUUUAACCCUGAGUUAUUGUCAUAUUUUAUUACCAUUUUCUAAACCAUAGCAAAUAAACUCUGUUAAUGUGAGAAAUGUUGAAGGUGUCUGAAUAAAUUUUAGUUUGACUUUAUUUAAUUUUACAGUAAAGACUAUGCAGUGUUAUCGGUCUCUGUACCUGGACACCUACAAUACAAACUUGAAAGAAAAAAAAAACAACAACAUUGUGUAAAUAUGAAUAAAUCAACAUUUUGUAAAAAGCAUGAAUAAAUAAAUAGAACAACAUACAAAUUAAACAAUUUCAGGGUCCAACGAUACACCCUGCAUUGGGGCCCCGCAAACCCCAGCUACUGCCCUGAGUGAAUGCUCAAAGUCUGCAUCCUCUGUUGUUUCAAUUUCAUUAAGAGUAUAAGUCUAAUUGUAUAUCCCCUGCAAAACAUAUCUAAAUAAAAUCAAAAUAAUAUCCUGAGUGUAAGUACCUGUUUGUUCAUUGAGCCUUUAAAAGACUAUUUUAGCUCUUCACAAGUCACAUAAUUAAGCAGUUUUUUCUUUUUAGUCAGGCUUGGCCUAGCAGUUUUUCCCAGUUCUAACCCAUGUAGUUUAAUAUGACAUUUAUAUGAUGUUUGUUAAAGUGAUGAGCCACUCACACCCCUUGGAGAAGAUACAUGAAGAGACAUGUUCCAUCUAAACCACUGUUUUCUGGUUGGAUUUGGCUGAGAGGAAACCUGGUCCAGAGGCCCAGUAACAGGUGGUGGACAUGUGUGCCGAAAUUGAAUAGGUCAUGGCUGAGAGAAACAAUUCAAUGAGCCGACUCUCCUGCUCUUCUCAAGCAUUACAGAAAAGAGGUUGGGAAACACAAACACAUUCUUAGAUUUGAACAACACUAUUCAAAACGGUGGUAAACUACAAGACAGUUUUAAAGAAAAAUAUGAUUUUAAAUGGAACAAGAGGUAUUUAAGGAGUGAAAAUUCCAUACAAGGUAUCAAAUAUACAAGUGUAACUAUGAUACUUUAG
rnacentral:lncRNA from 1 species